UAAGUAGAUACGUAAUGUUCAUGCGCGCCGGGGUUAUCAUGGGUUCCUGCCUGUAAAAUAUUUAUGAAUAAGGUCGCUGCAUGCUUUUGUGUGUCUGCAUGUUUAUGGAGGUUAUCUUUAAAUAAAAGAAAAUGCCCCGGUGUUUAGUAAUUACCGUACAUAUUCCAUAUAAUAUAUAUAUAUAUACGAGAUAUAUAUCUAUAUGAAUAGUUAGUAUAUCCGAGACAAUCUAUAUUUAUAGUGAGUUAAUUUUAGAGUAAAUUAUUAAAUUAAUCUUAAUAUUUCACAGUUAUUAUAAUUUAAUUUUUAAUAAUUUUUUAUUACGAGAGAAGCAAAGAGUAAUCUAAGUGAGAACAAGAAAUAAAGAUGGCUUCCUUCUCCUGCAAAAAGAUAGCUUAGCGGAACUAGGGUCUACAGUUAACUAAUUAUCCUUACAACGUGUCUACAUACUAUCACAGGACCAAGAAAAAAGCGAUCUGAGUUUAACAACAGAUCAAAUAAGGGGGUUGCUAAUGUGAAAAAGAGCACUCAGUACUCCUACAAGCCUGUUCAUGCAGGGCCUUUUUUGAACAAAUAUGGCGGUAUUGGUCCAGAGCUAAGACUGUAGGGAACAACAACUACAUCAAUGCCAGCAUCGGUGGAUUCUAUAUAAAUCCUACAUACAGAACUACAACGAAUUAGAGUGGUAGGUUUGCAAACUUCAAUUAAAGAAAGUCCAAAAAUUCCCAGAACAACCUGAGUGGACACUCAACAUGGAAGAUUAAUGACAGGUACUCUCUUCUUACCUGUACUUUAUAUCAAUGAGGCACAAUAUAAAAAAAAAUCCAAGUUAAAGCAUAAACAUUUGAGUUUCAUGUUUAUUAAUCAACGCUAUCGUUUUAUUUGCUGUUCCAUCUUGUGUUUUAUAAUUUGCUGCCAUUAUCAUGUUGUCUUAAAUGAGAGAGUACGUGGAUUAUAAUGUUAAACAGAGCAUAAUAGUAUAUUAACCUACUCCCUAAGCAAUUUGUUCUAUUAGUUCGUCAUAAUUUGGAAUCGACCGUGCUCAACUAACCAUGCGAAGGAUGCAUCAGGUGGUGGGCAGGCAUGGAUGUGAAGACCUUGCCCAUACGAAGCUCUCAAGCCAUAACCCCAUCAAUUUGAAUUUACCAUGAACGCACAACAGAUUACCAGCAACUCCAUAUAUACUCAAACUUUAACAGAAUAAACUCAAACACAUUAUUAAACCUAACUGCUCUCGAAAAAAAAUAAUAUAUGUCAUGCAGCCAUAGACAAAAGAUGCCUAGCACAUGCAGUAUAAAAGCAUAGAAGCAUUAUUGCAGACGCCUAAAUUCUACUACCGGCAUCGGAUCAUUUAGUUCUUUUGGAGUUGUCUUGAACAUAAGUACGAAAGAGGACAACCUUGCAAACAUUUGGGAUAAACAGGGCGCUAAACCAAACAGCUAUUGCAAUUAAUCACAAACCCUAAGCCAAAAGCAAACACAAACCUGAGAGAAAUUAAAUGGACAAAUCAAUUAUCGAGAGUUCACAAUCUAACUGGAAACAACACACCGACAAAAAAACACUUGUUCGGCCAAAAUUUAUAGCUGAUUAGGUAAAGUUCCAAGCUGAACCGAGGCCUCCGGAAAGGUAAAGGCACAUGCGUAAAUUAUUCAGACUGAUCUCAAAUUGGUUUGGAUGUUUUGCAGAAUGCUGGUUCCGACUCGAACUAGAACCCCUCCAUCAAAUCAGUGUAGCCGUAUAUCUGCAAUCCAGAAUAAUUCAGAAAAGAAGCUUACGUGACCUAGUCCUAUUUAAAUAGCAAUCCCUCAGAACCAACAUUAUAUAGCUUAAAAUUAACUAAGGUGAGAGAAGAAGGCUCCGGCUCCGACAAGGCUCACCGGGUGGUUGACGGGGUAAGAUUCCUUAACUGCUUUCCAUCGACGGCGCCGCGCAAGGCGUUGCUAAGGGGAUUUUCAACUCCCUCGUCGACAGGGUUCUUGCGAAUCAGGAAGCUGCAGUGCGCGAGUUCGAGCACAGUGACGACAUUGGCUUGAUUAUAUCAUCUUAAUUAUACACUCUUAUUAUUUUAUUGAUGAUAAUAUAUAAUUUGUUAUUUUAUUGUAACAUAUUCAUAAUAUUUAAUUUAAUAUAAUCAAUAAAUUAAUUAAUGUAUUAGUAAAUUUAUAUUUUCUAAACGUUUGACUAUAUAUUAAUUUAAUUUAUUAUUUAACAUAA
rnacentral:lncRNA from 1 species